UACAGAGGGGGCAAGCGUUGUUCGGAAUUACUGGGCGUAAAGGGCGCGUAGGCGGCCUGCUAAGCCGAACGUGAAAUCCCUGGGCUCAACCCAGGAACUGCGUCCGAUACUGGUUGGCUUGAAUCCGGGAGAGGGACGUGGAAUUCCAGGUGUAGCGGUGAAAUGCGUAGAUAUCUGGAGGAACACCGGUGGCGAAGGCGGCAUCCUGGACCAACACUGACGCUGAGUGAGCGAAAGCCAGGGGAGCAAACGGG
rnacentral:rRNA from 1 species